GUACACGCUGUGACUAGCAUAUCAAUAAGCGGAGGAAAAGAAACUAACAAGGAUUCCCUUAGUAACGGCGAGUGAAGCGGGAAGAGCUCAAAUUUGAAAUCUUCAAGGUUUUACCUUGACGAAUUGUAGUUUAAAGAAGUGGUUUCUGCUGAAGUUUUGGUAAAAGUUCUUUGGAAUAGGAUAUCAUAGAGGGUGAGAAUCCCGUAUUUGACCAUUAUUUUCAGCUUUGUGAUACACUUUCAAAGAGUCGGAUUGUUUGGGAAUGCAGUCCAAAAUGGGUGGUAAAUUUCAUCUAAAGCUAAAUAUUGGCGAGAGACCGAUAGCGAACAAGUACCGUGAGGGAAAGAUGAAAAGAACUUUGAAAAGAGAGUUAAACAGUACGUGUAAUUGUCAAAAGGGAAGCGUUUAACACCAGUGUUGUUUUCUGAAAAUCAACCUCUGUUAGCUUUAUGCAUGUUUGUUUAGACCUAAUCAGCUAUCUUUCAUGUUCUAUUGUUUGCAGUGGUGCACUUUUCAGUUUACAGGUCAACAUCAGUUUUUUUUACCGUAAAAAAGUUAAAGAAAGGUAGCUCAUGGCUCCGGUCGUGAGUGUUAUAGUCUUUUUCCUAUGCGGUAGGAGAGACUGAGGUCUGCAGUGUAGGCUAUUUGGCUAGAUACUCAGGUGCUAUGUGAUACCAUUUCAUAAACAACUUGUUGAUUAUGUUUUGUCUAUUGCAUACUCGCUUGUACUAUCAUACCUACGCUUAGGAUGUUGAGUAGCGACAUACGCAC
rnacentral:rRNA from 1 species